rnacentral:rRNA from 1 species
GUAGGUGGCAAGCGUUGUCCGGAAUUAUUGGGCGUAAAGCGCGCGCAGGUGGGUUCUUUAAGUCUGAUGUGAAAGACCCCCGGGCUCAACCGGGGAGGGUCAUUGGAAACUGGGGAACUUGAGUGCAGGAGAGGAAAGUGGAAUUCCACGUGUAGCGGUGAAAUGCGUAGAUAUGUGGAGGAACACCAGUGGCGAAGGCGACUUUCUGGCCUGUAACUGACACUGAGGCGCGAAAGCGUGGGUAGCAAACAGGAUUAGAUACCCUGGUAGUCCACGCCGUAAACGAUGAGUGCUAAGUGUUGGGGGGUUUCCGCCCCUCAGUGCGGCAGCUAACGCAUUAAGCACUCCGCCUGGGGAGUACGGUCGCAAAGACUG